rnacentral:rRNA from 1 species
ACCGCAUAGAUCCAAGAACCGCAUGGUUCUUGGCUGAAAGAUGGCGUAAGCUAUCGCUUUUGGAUGGACCCGCGGCGUAUUAGCUAGUUGGUGAGGUAACGGCUCACCAAGGCGAUGAUACGUAGCCGAACUGAGAGGUUGAUCGGCCACAUUGGGACUGAGACACGGCCCAAACUCCUACGGGAGGCAGCAGUAGGGAAUCUUCCACAAUGGACGCAAGUCUGAUGGAGCAACGCCGCGUGAGUGAAGAAGGCUUUCGGGUCGUAAAACUCUGUUGUUGGAGAAGAAUGGUCGGCAGAGUAACUGUUGUCGGCGUGACGGUAUCCAACCAGAAAGCCACGGCUAACUACGUGCCAGCAGCCGCGGUAAUACGUAGGUGGCAAGCGUUAUCCGGAUUUAUUGGGCGUAAAGCGAGCGCAGGCGGUUUUUUAAGUCUGAUGUGAAAGCCCUCGGCUUAACCGAGGAAGCGCAUCGGAAACUGGGAAACUUGAGUGCAGAAGAGGACAGUGGAACUCCAUGUGUAGCGGUGAAAUGCGUAGAUAUAUGGAAGAACACCAGUGGCGAAGGCGGCUGUCUGGUCUGUAACUGACGCUGAGGCUCGAAAGCAUGGGUAGCGAACAGGAUUAGAUACCCUGGUAGUCCAUGCCGUAAACGAUGAAUGCUAGGUGUUGGAGGGUUUCCGCCCUUCAGUGCCGCAGCUAACGCAUUAAGCAUUCCGCCUGGGGAGUACGACCGCAAGGUUGAAACUCAAAGGAAUUGACGGGGGCCCGCACAAGCGGUGGAGCAUGUGGUUUAAUUCGAAGCAACGCGAAGAACCUUACCAGGUCUUGACAUCUUUUGAUCACCUGAGAGAUCAGGUUUCCCCUUCGGGGGCAAAAUGACAGGUGGUGCAUGGUUGUCGUCAGCUCGUGUCGUGAGAUGUUGGGUUAAGUCCCGCAACGAGCGCAACCCUUAUGACUAGUUGCCAGCAUUUAGUUGGGCACUCUAGUAAGACUGCCGGUGACAAACCGGAGGAAGGUGGGGAUGACGUCAAAUCAUCAUGCCCCUUAUGACCUGGGCUACACACCGUGCUACAAUGGAUGGUACAACGAGUUGCGAGACCGCGAGGUC